GACGAAGGGGGCUAGCGUUGGUCGGAAUUACUGGGCGUAAAGCGCGUGUAGGCGGUUGUCCAAGUUGGAUGUGAAAGCCUUGAGCUUAACUCAAGAAAUGCAUUCAGGACUGGAUGACUAGAGGACCGGAGAGGAUAGUGGAAUUCCCAGUGUAGUGGUGAAAUACGUAGAGAUUGGGAAGAACACCAGUGGCGAAGGCGGCUAUCUGGACGGUUUCUGACGCUAAGACGCGAAAGCGUGGGGAGCAAACAGG
rnacentral:rRNA from 1 species